GGGAGAUGGAGAUGGAGACGGAGAUGGAGAGAGAGAUGGGCUGGAGAAGAAGGAUGGCCACAUAAUGCUUCACCAUCGCCACUAAUUAAGAGGCAAAGAGAAGAGUGACUAUGCAAAUGAGGUGUUUGAGAGCAGCAGCCGCAGCAGCAUAGAAUGCAACAUUAAAAAACAAGAUCAAACAUCACAUCCUUGUGAGAGAUGGAAGAAAAGAGGGGAGGAGAAAGGAGGGAGGAGAGAAUGGGAGGUGAGGAAGCAGUGGGUGGUGAGAGCCAAACACUCCAACAGGAAAAGACAACCGGCAUCUGGCUUCUCUCUCUCUCUUUCAUCACAGCUGAGAGAGACUUAUGUCAUCACACUUGAGGAGGACAGCAGCUUCAUUAAACAAAAGGCACCGGGUGAAAUGAGAUCAAGUGCACUGAAACAGACUUAAGCAGGCCUCUCAUCCCUAUCCAACCAUCCUGGUUUUGUCUUCCUGAUGAUCUCCGGGGCUCUGCAGGGUCAGCCGAGGUCCUUCCUCCAAACUCUCAUCUGGGCUCUCCACCGUCAACCCCGACACCUCAUCCAGGAUGUCCUCUACAGAU